GCCUGCACGCCGCGGCUCCCCGGAGCUCGGUCCCGCUCUCCUCGGCCCCGCCGGCUCCGGCGCGGGCUGGCGCAACCCUGGUGCCGCCGCGGCGAAACUCCGCCUGCCGAGCCGCCGGGGAGCGAGCCGAGCCCUCCUCUUCCCUCCCCGAAGCGAAGUCCUCCGCACCGACACCGAGGCGAUCACAUAGUCUCCACCCGAGCGCGUCUCGGUCCGGGGUCUUUGCGACUGAAACGGGGGACAGGAGAGAGGACGACAAGUCAGACCGCCCGGGAGCCUUCCUCGGGGUUCCUGCAGCCUCCCCUCCUCCACGGCGCCCCCACGCGCGCCCGGCCCUCUCCCGCGCCGCCCAAGCCUGCCUGGCUCCUCCCGAGCAAAGCGAGGUCACUUUCUCUCCCCGCAGGGCUGCAGCCGUCUGCGCGCGGCGAGGCUGCAGGGGCCCCUCGGGGAUGAGCGCGCCGCGCGGGACGCAGGGCAACGGGAGGGGGCGUGCCGAGCGGCCCGGAGUGUGCCGGGAGCGCGGGGGAGGGGAGGCGCCGGGCGCGUCAAUGUCACGGCUCCGCGCGGAUCCCUCGCGCGCCGCGCCGCCCGGGGGCCUGGACGCGGGUGGGGGCUCCCGGGACCCCGGAGCCCGCGGCCGGGCAGGGUGCGAGAAGGGGUCGUCACGCAUCUGCUCGGAAAUUGCUUCCUUUCUUUUUCUACUUUCAGUUUUUCUAAGGGGGAGACCUUUAAAGACGCGGCGCACACGUACGUGGUCUCGCCGGGGGCCGAGGCGCCUCGGCCGGGAACGCAAUCCUGCCUCCGACUCCGAGGGACCUCCCUGGUGGAAACCCCGGGAGAAUCAGCCAUCUGGUCGGGGCGGGCUGGGCUGCGCCGGGGUGGGCGAGCCGGAGGCCCUGGAAGGGGCAGCCCCACGUGGGAUGCCGAGGGUGGGGGCGAGGGGCGUCCGCCUCCGGGACUCAGCGCGGGGAGGAAGACACCAGGACCGCCGACUCGCCCCGAAGUUUCCAGCCCAGGUCAACCUGAGCCGAACGCUACCUCCCCAGAGGGUGGUGGGGGCGGGGGGCGUCGACGCUGCGCCUCCCGGGCCGAGGGGGAAGGGGCUGCGCCCCCCGGAGCCUGCCCUCGCCACCCUUUCCCCAACCCGCGAGGCCGUCCGCGGCGCCGUGGCCCCCCGGCUCCCGCGUGCAGCCGGGGGCCGGAGCCCUCCGCACAACAAAGCCCCGGAGGGGGUGCCCUCACUUUCCCGUCUCCUCUCAGCCGCCCUCCGCCGCCGAAGGAGCCUCCCUCCCCCGCGGCCGCCGCGGCCUCGGCCGGACCUUCGCCGCGCCGGCCGCGUGUCCGCACUUCCCGGGACACCUCGGCAUUACCUGCCCCGCAACCGCGGGCCCGCUCGCCUCCGGCCGGGAUUAAAGGAGCAGCGGCAGCGGCAAAGCGGCGCGACCUCCCGGCCCGGCGUGCGGGCGGAGCGGACCGCAGCGAGAGCGGAGCCUCCCACACGCACUCCUUUCACAACGCUCCCCGCGAGCCGAGGAAAGCGCCCCCAGAGCCCGCCCAGGGGUCUGAGCCAGGUCGAGGGCCACACAGGUAGCGGGGGAGCCGCCGGCGGCCGCCGGACCCGCCCCUCCCGCGUCCCCUCCCCCUCCCGCCGGAGUCCGGCCCCCGGCUCCGCGGCGAAGGAAGCGGCGGGGACGUCCCACCCCCGCAGGGAACUGCGCCCGCUGGCCCCGCACCGCCCGCCUCUCCCCCCCGGCCCCCGGGCUGGCGGCUCCGGCCGAGAGAAACGGGAGCAGCAGUGCCUUUUCCCCCCCUCUCCUCCACUUUUUUUUGUUGUUGUUGUUGCUUUCCCACGCUGGCUGAAUGUGACUUGACCCCAUUUCAAAAAAGUUUGACAUAGUGCUUCAACAUUUCCGCAUUCCUCCGCGACUACAAAGGCUGCAGCCGCCUCCUUCUGCUUUCUGUCUCUGCUCUGUCUUCACACUCAAUGAAAUCCUUCAUGUGCCUCUCCCCAAGCCUGCCAAGCACCGCAAGGGUCGCCACCGGCGCAGCGCCCGGGGGGCCGCGGCGGCGGCGACCGCCACUCCCGCGUGUGCGCACACGCACAGGCGCCCACGUGCACCCGGGCGGCCGCGCCGCGGGCCACGCGUUCGAACGCCGAGGGCUGCGCUCCUGAGAGGGCAGACCUGCAAAGCGAGGCGUCCACGCGGGGCUUCCAGCCGGGGCGCCGGCGUGCACGGCUCCGCGCCUCGCACGCCCGCGGGGGCUGCCAGCAGGAAGCCUGCGUGAACGUGUGUGUCACGGUGGGCAACGCUGGAGCCCACGCCCACGGCCGCACCUCGGCGAGCUGCAGCCGCAGCUCUGGUUUGGGGGGUGGGGUGGGGUGGGGGGGCGGUGCGCGGAAACACUUUCUCCAGCAUGGAGUCCCCUGAGGCGCUGCCCGUUCAGCCCCAAGUGCGGAUUCCGCGGAUGUCCGAGGAGCGGUCAAGUUCCGUUUGGAGGAGCGGGUGUCCGCGCGCACGGACGCGUGGGCGCUGCCACGCGACCUCCCGUCGGCGGCGGUCUCGCCUCCUCGCCAGACCGGGAAAGGCGCCGCUGCCUCCCCAGAACUGGCCCCCGUGACCGACCGCGUCUCAGUUCGCAAGGGGUUAACUGAGACGACGCGAGGACACUCAGCACCCCCCACACCACCCUACACCCACCCCCACCUCCACGCCGGCCUCGGACCCCGGCGAGCCCGCAGCGCUCCCCCGGGACCCCCCACCCGGCAGCCCACCCACCCGAGCGCCCAGCUCCUCACCUGAGGGGCCCGGUCGCGCCGGGCCUCCUGAGGGGGCUGCGGUGUCCCCGCGACCUCCGCACGUGUCCGCGGCCGCGCGGAGCAGUAAAUAGACUAAGAAGAUGAUGACACUGAUGAAGAAGAAGAUGAAGGUGAUGACAACAAUGAUAAAGCAGCAGCAGCAGCUGUUAGCAGCAUAGCUGGAUUCAGUCUGUUGCAUUACGUUGUUUCGAUUGAGGUGCAUGAAGACAGACUGGCCUCAGACAUGCAGCCCUGCAAGCUAUUUGGCAUAUGAAGGUCUUGACCUAAGAAAACCAUCUUGGAUAACCGCGGCAAGGAAAAGGAAAAACGCAACACCUAGGAGAUUUCAGUAAACAGCAGAAUCAUGCCAACCUAAUCUGUGUUAAAAUGCCUGGAAUGUGGGAGCUGCUGCUGAUGCCUGUUGUCUGUGUGUCUCACUGAAUCCUUUCUUUUCUCAGAGCAGCAAAGCAAAGCCUGGGAACCAAGCCAAAUGCCUGCCACUUACCUUAAAUUGAUCAGCCACUUUGAGAUUAAAACCCCUGAAAGCUGCCACACCGUGAAAACAAGGCCUCCUUCACAUUAAAGGCAAAUUGCGACUUUG